rnacentral:tRNA from 1 species
GGUCUGGUGGUGUAGUUGGUUAUCACGUCAGUCUAACAACUCGAGAGCCUCGCUUCUCUCGUCUGCCACACUGAAGGUCUCCGGUUCAAGUCCGGGCUAGAUCA